rnacentral:rRNA from 1 species
CAUGCAAGUCGAACGCACAGCGAAAGGUGCUUGCACCUUUCAAGUGAGUGGCGAACGGGUGAGUAACACGUGGACAACCUGCCUCAAGGCUGGGGAUAACAUUUGGAAACAGAUGCUAAUACCGAAUAAAACUUAGUGUCGCAUGACACAAAGUUAAAAGGCGCUUCGGCGUCACCUAGAGAUGGAUCCGCGGUGCAUUAGUUAGUUGGUGGGGUAAAGGCCUACCAAGACAAUGAUGCAUAGCCGAGUUGAGAGACUGAUCGGCCACAUUGGGACUGAGACACGGCCCAAACUCCUACGGGAGGCUGCAGUAGGGAAUCUUCCACAAUGGGCGAAAGCCUGAUGGAGCAACGCCGCGUGUGUGAUGAAGGCUUUCGGGUCGUAAAGCACUGUUGUAUGGGAAGAACAGCUAGAAUAGGAAAUGAUUUUAGUUUGACGGUACCAUACCAGAAAGGGACGGCUAAAUACGUGCCAGCAGCCGCGGUAAUACGUAUGUCCCGAGCGUUAUCCGGAUUUAUUGGGCGUAAAGCGAGCGCAGACGGUUUAUUAAGUCUGAUGUGAAAGCCCGGAGCUCAACUCCGGAAUGGC